UAUCUUGCGCGCAACGCAAUGGGUGAUUGGGCCGUGCCUCCGGGGGCGGCUGGUUAUACGUUGUGAAACCCACAGGCGAACGUACAACUCAGGCUUUCCGGAGUUACGGGUUCGCAUUGGCGCAACGUUUCGUCGGGCCCCUUCCAUCCCAGGGUGUCCCGUCACGGGUGCUUGCACAGCGGGCAUCCCCCGAGUGCGUAUGAUGUGACCCGAAAGAUGGUGAACUAUGCCUGAUCAGGUCGAAGUCAGGGGAAACCUGGAUAGGACGGACCGAAGCAAUUCUGACGUGCAAU
rnacentral:rRNA from 1 species